GCUCAGUUGGUAAAGCACAAGGCUCUUAACCUUGUGGGCGUGGGUUCAAGCCCCAU
rfam:Triticum aestivum genome assembly, contig: Triticum_aestivum_CS42_TGACv1_scaffold_392973_5AS